UUGUUGUUUUGUGUUACGGGCGUAUGGUGGAUGCCUUGGCAUGCUGGGCCGAUGAAGGACGUGUGAGGCUGCGUUAAGCCUCGGGGAGUUGCCAACAGUGCGUUGAUCCGAGGAUGUCCGAAUGGGGAAACCCAACACCAGUUGUGUGGUGUUACCUGCAGGUGAAUGCAUAGCCUGUGUGGAGGUGACGUGGGGAAGUGAAACAUCUCAGUACCCACAGGAGAAGAAAACAAUUUGUGAUUCCGUGUGUAGUGGCGAGCGAUAGCGGAUGAGGCUAAACCGUGUGCGUGUGAUACCUGGGUAGGGGUUGCGUGUGCGGUGUUGUGGGGUGUGAUCGUUGCGGGCUACCUGACCGCAAGAUGGUGUGUGUGCGUUAGCGGAAACGUCUGGGAUGGCGUGCCGGAGCGGGUGAUUAGCCCCGUACGUGAAGGCGUUGCAUAUGUUGUCUGAUCAUGUUUUCCCCGAGUAGCAGCGGGCUCGUGAAAUCUGCUGUGAAUCUGCCGGGACCACCCGGUAAGCCUAAAUACCCAGUGUGACCGAUAGUGAAUAAGUACCGUGAGGGAAUGGUGAAAAGUACCCCGGGAGGGGAGUGAAAGAGUUCCUGAAACCAUGCGCUUACAAUCCGUCAGAGCACCGUUUGUGUGUGAUGGCGUGCCUUUUGAAGAAUGAGCCUGCGAGUCAGCGGCAUGUCGCGAGGUUAACCCGAGUGUGGGGUAGUCGUAGCGAAAGCGAAUCCUAAGAGGGUGUCAAGUGGCAUGUCCUGGACCCGAAGCGGGGUGAUCUACCCAUGGCCAGUGUGAAGCAGCUGUAAGAGGUUGUGGAGGCGCGAACCCACUUAGGUUGAAAACUGAGGGGAUGAGCUGUGGGUAGGGGUGAAAGGCCAAUCAAACUCCGUGAUAGCUGGUUCUCCCCGAAAUGCAUUUAGGUGCAGCGUGAUGUGUGCUUACCGGAGGUAGAGCUACUGGAUGGCCGAGCGGGACUAUCAUCUUAGUGACGUCAGCCAAACUCCGAAUGCCGGUUGAAGUUUGAGCAUUGCAGUGAGACUGUGGGGGAUAAGCUUCAUAGUCGAGAGGGAAACAGCCCAGAUCGCCGGUUAAGGCCCCUAAGGGUGUGCUAAGUGGAAAAGGAUGUGGGAUCGCGAAGACAGCCAGGAGGUUGGCUUAGAAGCAGCCAUCCUUGAAAGAGUGCGUAAUAGCUCACUGGUCGAGUGGUUCUGCGCCGACAAUGUAGUGGGGCUCAAGCACACCGCCGAAGCCGCGGCAUAGUUUUUACUAUGGGUAGGGGAGCGUCGUGUGUGGGGUGAAGCCGUAUCGGAAGAAGCGGUGGACUGCACGCGAGUGAGAAUGCAGGCAUGAGUAACGAAUGAUACGUGAGAAUCGUAUCCGCCGAAUGACUAAGGGUUCCUGGGUCAAGUUCGUCUUCCCAGGGUGAGUCGGGUCCUAAGGCGAGGCCGACAGGCGUAGUCGAUGGUCAACGGGUUGAUAUUCCCGUACCCGUAUAUACGCGCCCAGUAUCGAAGCGGUGAUACUAACCACCCA
rnacentral:rRNA from 1 species